rnacentral:rRNA from 1 species
CCUACGGGAGGCAGCAGUGAGGAAUAUUGGUCAAUGGACGAGAGUCUGAACCAGCCAAGUAGUGUGAAGGAUGACUGCCCUAUGGGUUGUAAACUUCUUUUAUAUGGGAAUAAAAUGUUCCACGUGUGGGAUUUUGUAUGUACCAUAUGAAUAAGGAUCGGCUAACUCCGUGCCAGCAGCCGCGGUAAUACGGAGGAUCCGAGCGUUAUCCGGAUUUAUUGGGUUUAAAGGGAGCGUAGGUGGAUUGUUAAGUCAGUUGUGAAAGUUUGCGGCUCAACCGUAAAAUUGCAGUUGAAACGGGCAGUCUUGAGUACAGUAGAGGUGGGCGGAAUUCGUGGUGUAGCGGUGAAAUGCUUAGAUAUCACGAAGAACUCCGAUUGCGAAGGCAGUUCACUGGACUGCAACUGACACUGAGGCUCGAAAGUGUGGGUAUCAAACAGGAUUAGAUACCCCUGUAGUC